CGGGUUGUAAAGCACUUUUGUCCGGAAAGAAAACAUAUGCACUAAUACUGUGUGUGGAUGACGGUACCGGAAGAAUAAGCACCCGGCUAACUACGUGC
rnacentral:rRNA from 1 species